rnacentral:rRNA from 1 species
GAUGAACGCUGGCGGCGUGCCUAAUACAUGCAAGUCGAGCGAACGGACGAGAAGCUUGCUUCUCUGAUGUUAGCGGCGGACGGGUGAGUAACACGUGGAUAACCUACCUAUAAGACUGGGAUAACUUCGGGAAACCGUAGCUAAUACCGGAUAAUAUUUUGAACCGCAUGGUUCAAAAGUGAAAGACGGUCUUGCUGCCACUUAUAGAUGGAUCCGCGCUGCAUUAGCUAGUUGGUAAGGUAACGGCUUACCAAGGCAACGAUGCAUAGCCGACCUGAGAGGGUGAUCGGCCACACUGGAACUGAGACACGGUCCAGACUCCUACGGGAGGCAGCAGUAGGGAAUCUUCCGCAAUGGGCGAAAGCCUGACGGAGCAACGCCGCGUGAGUGACGAAGGUCUUCGGAUCGUAAAACUCUGUUAUUAGGGAAGAACAUAUGUGUAAGUAACUGUGCACAUCUUGACGGUACCUAAUCAGAAAGCCACGGCUAACUACGUG